AAACUUUGGUUGAACCCAGAACCAGGAGGCUUUAAUUCUCAAUGCAAGGAGACGCCGUUAAUGGCGGUUCUGAAAGUGGGUCAAUGUCAACUGUGUCAAGGGAGGAUAACAUGAUGGUCUCCUCUGAAGAUUCUUCGUGCCCCGAUGAGUAUGAAUUGGAAUUGGGUCUUGGCCUGAGCCUUGGUGGUGGUGGUUCUAAGCUGCACCAGGUUUCAAAGACUGGUCAAUAUGCCAGGAUUUUGACUGCUCAAGAUUUCCCCCCUUCAUCUCCUUCCCCGUCAUCGUCGUCUUCGUCUUCGUUUUCUUUAAGUAGAGCUAAUGUCACGGCCGGAACAAAGAGGACUGCUGAUCCUGUGGCUGCUGCUAAUGGAUCUAGUCAAAUCGCGGGGUGGCCUCCUAUCAGAGCUUAUAGAAUGAAUAGCAUGGUUAACCAAGCAAAAGCAUCAGUCACUGAAGGAUUUAACUCGACAAUGGAGAACCAUAAAAAGGAGACCUCGAUGGUUGAGAACAGCACCACUGGCUGCUACCAUAAUAGUGGUAAUACUAAGCUCCGGAAAUCUCUGUUUGUUAAGGCGAAUAUGGACGGAAUUCCAAUUGGAAGGAAGGUCGAUCUGAAUGCCCAUGAAUCAUAUGAAAAGUUAGCAAAAACGUUGGAAGAAAUGUUCCUUGAAACCACCCCAAGUGUCAAUUCAGCAGGAUCAAUAGCGCUGCAACGUGAUAUGACAAACAAAAUGGCAAGACCUUCGAAACUGCUAAACGGAUUUUCUGAUUUUGUGCUUACUUAUGAGGACAAGGAGGGUGACUGGAUGCUUGUCGGAGAUGUUCCUUGGGAGUAAGUAUAAUUUCAAUUAUGCAUCUCACUUUACGUAUUUGUUUCUAUGGUCUCAAUCCAAUGGUGUUAAAGUUCCGUUCUUAUUGCCUGGACUGAAAACCAGAACGUGGGAUCCUCGUGACACCUAUUUUAUAGGCGUACGAGUUUCUUUAGAAAAGAAACAAAGAAAAUUCAAAGUACGCAUUUAUAAGAUACAUGUUGCGAUACUAAUAAAGUUUUCAAACAUAAAUUGUCGAUUAGUUCAGGCUUUAGGAUAAAGCUGGGGAGGGUUAUAGGAAAAGCUUAAAAUCUUCAUACAUGUGCCUUUCCUCCAGUGCCCUUGAACUUGCUUUGAGAAUAGAAAGAGAAUUCCAUCUCCCUAGCACUCAUCGUUAAUGUUCUCGGAUUUG